rnacentral:rRNA from 1 species
CCUCCUGAUUCAGCGGCGGACGGGUGAGUAACACGUGGGCAACCUGCCCUGUAGAUUGGGAUAACUCCGGGAAACCGGGGCUAAUACCGAAUAACCCACCGGACCUCAUGGUCUGGUGUUGAAAGACGGUUUCGGCUGUCACUACAGGAUGGGCCCGCGGCGCAUUAGCUAGUUGGUGAGGUAACGGCUCACCAAGGCCACGAUGCGUAGCCGACCUGAGAGGGUGAUCGGCCACACUGGGACUGAGACACGGCCCAGACUCCUACGGGAGGCAGCAGUAGGGAAUCUUCCACAAUGGACGAAAGUCUGAUGGAGCAACGCCGCGUGAGUGAAGAAGGUUCUCGGAUCGUAAAACUCUGUUGUGAGGGAAGAACAAGUACCGGAGUAACUGCCGGUACCUUGACGGUACCUCAUUAGAAAGCCACGGCUAACUACGUGCCAGCAGCCGCGGUAAUACGUAGGUGGCAAGCGUUGUCCGGAAUCAUUGGGCGUAAAGCGCGCGCAGGCGGUCCCUUAAGUCUGAUGUGAAAGCCCACGGCUCAACCGUGGAGGGUCAUUGGAAACUGGGGGACUUGAGUGCAGAAGAGGAAAGCGGAAUUCCAAGUGUAGCGGUGAAAUGCGUAGAGAUUUGGAAGAACACCAGUGGCGAAGGCGGCUUUCUGGUCUGUAACUGACGCUGAGGCGCGAAAGCGUGGGGAGCACACAGGAUUAG